rnacentral:RNase_P_RNA from 2 species
GAAGUAAACCGGGUGACCGCUGUUUCGGCUUUAUGGCUGGGAGAGAGGAAAGUCCGGGCUCCACAGGGCAGGAUACUCCGUAACGCGGAGUGAGGGCGACCUUAAGGAAAGUGCCACAGAAAAUACACAGCCUACCCGGCCUCGUGUCGGCGGCAAAGGUGAAAAGGCGAGGUAAGAGCUCACCAGUAUCGUUGGUGACAGCGGUAGCUUGGUAAACCCUAUCCGGAGCAAGAUCAAAUAGGAAAGUGCUUGAGGGCGGCCCGCCCGAUACUUUCGGGUUGAUUGCUCGAGCCUGUUGGCAACAGCAGGCCUAGAUUAAUGGUCACCACUUCAUAUUUUAUGAAGUACAAAACCCGGCUUAUGGUUUACUUCGGCU